AAUACAGACAGUUAAUCUUCUUAUCUCAAUGCACUUCUAUUGAAAUUUAGGAAAGGCUGGCAACAGUGAUGCCAUGUUAUGAGACUUAAGGACAGCUGAAGUCUUUAAGGUUCCUGAAAAUGGCUACAGCA